rnacentral:rRNA from 1 species
GAUGAACGCUGGCGGCGUGCCUAAUACAUGCAAGUCGCGCGAAUGGAUUAAGAGCUUGCUCUUAUGAAGUUAGCGGCGGACGGGUGAGUAACACGUGGGUAACCUGCCCAUAAGACUGGGAUAACUCCGGGAAACCGGGGCUAAUACCGUAUAACAUUUUGAACCGCAUGGUUCGAACUUGAAAGGCGCCUUCGGCCGUCACUUAUGGAUCGACCCGCGUCGCAUUAGCUAGUUGGUGAGGUACCGGCUCACCAAGGCAACGAUGCGUAGCCGACCUGAGAGGGUGAUCGGCCAAACUGGGACUGAGACACGGGCCAGACUCCUACGGGAGGCAGCAGUAGGGAAUCUUCCGCAAUGGACGAAAGUCUGACGGAGCAACGCCGCGUGAGUGAUGAAGGCUUUCGGGUCGUAAAACUCUGUUGUUAGGGAAGAACAAGUGCUAGUUGAAUAAGCUGGCACCUUGACGGUACCUAACCAGAAAGCCACGGCUAACGACGUGCCAGCCGCCGCGGUAA